rnacentral:rRNA from 1 species
GAAACAGUUGCUAAGACAGGAUAGGAAAUUAAGAGGCAUCUUUUAAUUUUUAAAAGACCUUUUUCGAAAGGUAUACUUAAAGAGGGGCUUGCGCCACAUUAGUUAGUUGGUAAGGUAAAGGCUUACCAAGACGAUGAUGUGUAGCUGGACUGAGAGGUCGAACAGCCACAUUGGGACUGAGACACGGCCCAAACUCCUACGGGAGGCAGCAGUAAGGAAUUUUUGGCAAUGGAGGAAACUCUGACCGAGCGACGUCGCGUGAACAAUGAAGUACUUCGGUAUGUAAAGUUCUUUUAUUGAAAAAGAAAAAAUAGUGGAAAAACUAUCUUGACAUUAUUCAAUGAAUAAGCCCCGGCUAAUUAUGUGCCAGCAGCCGCGGUAAUACAUAAGGGGCGAGCGUUAUCCGGAAUUAUUGGGCGUAAAGGGUGCGUAGGCGGUUUGAUAAGUCUAUAGUUUAAAUGCAGUGCUUAACGCUGUAGCGCUAUAGAAACUGUCUGGCUAGAGUUAGAUAGAGGCAAGCGGAAUUCCAUGUGUAGCGGUAAAAUGCGUAAAUAUAUGGAGGAACACCAGAGGCGUAGGCGGCUUGCUGGGUCUUAACUGACGCUGAGGCACGAAAGCGUGGGGAGCAAACAGGAUUAGAUACCCUGGUAGUCCACGCCGUAAACGAUGAGUACUAAGUGUCGGGUUUCGGCUCGGUACUGAAGUUAACACAUUAAGUACUCCGCCUGAGUAGUACGUACGCAAGUAUGAAACUUAAAGGAAUUGACGGGACCCCGCACAAGCGGUGGAUCAUGUUGUUUAAUUCGAAGAUACACGAAAAACCUUACCAGGUCUUGACAUAAUUUUGCGACAUUAUAGAAAUAUAAUGAAGGUUAUCAGAAUUACAGGUGGUGCAUGGUUGUCGUCAGCUCGUGUCGUGAGAUGUUAGGUUAAGUCCUAAAACGAGCGCAACCCUUGUCGUUAGUUGCGACCAUGUAAUGGUGAGCACUUUAGCGAGACUGCCAAUGAAAAAUUGGAGGAAGGUGAGGAUUACGUCAAAUCAUCAUGCCCCUUAUGAUCUGGGCUACAAACGUGAUACAAUGGCUGUUACAAAGAGUAGCUACAACGUGAGUUUUUAGCCAAUCUCAAAAAAACAGUCUCAGUUCGGAUUAAAGUCUGCAACUCGACUUCAUGAAGUUGGAAUCGCUAGUAAUCGCGAAUCAGCAUGUCGCGGUGAAUACGUUCUCGGGGUUUGUACACACCGCCCGUCA